UCUAAAACAGUAAACUUUUGGAAAUUAAAAAUAAAUGUCAGAAUCAAUUGCUUUAAAGUUCGAAGGAUUUCCGAAGGCUUUACCUCAUAAAAAAAGACGCACGCAAAACGUAAACCUGUAACACAGGUGGAAACAGCGCUAAUACACAUGUAGAAUAUUUACUUAAGCUUCUUCCUUAAUAUUUACUUAACCAAGCCAAUAUUCUAACAGCUCCAGCGCGCAGGAAGCGCGACGACAAUUGCAAGGCGACGCUUGGGAAGCGAAUGGAAAAUCAAUAUUUAAUUUCGGCAAAGUAUGUAAAAAACGAAGGCGAUAAAAUAUAUAUGAAAAUAUGGAGAAAAGGAAGCAGGAGCAAAUUGUAAGGCGCACAAAUGGAAACUCACACCUGUGACAAUAACAACAGCAAGCAAAGAAAACAAAGUGCAUAUAUAUUUCCGCAACGAAAAUGAAAUGCUCGAAAUUACUGAAAAUAUGAAAUUCUUACACGUCACACCAGAAAAAACAACAAAAAAAGCAAAGCAAAAAGGAACAUAAAUCACUCAACGCGCUUUGAUUAUUUCGGCGAAGUUAAUGAGAAUGAAAAUUCGCGGAAUUUCUUGACAUUUUAAUGCCACAGCCAUUAUGCGCCGGUUUACGCAUUCAUUUUACGUCACCUUUGUCUAAUUUCGCCGUUAGAUACGACUUUAUUAUUAUACUUAUGGUUAUUACGUCUUAUAUGAAUUGUUAUGCGCCGGACUGAGCAGACGGCGAAAUCAGGGCACAGUAUGCGGAAAUGACAAAAUAUUGAGCAUGCCGGAUGAGCGAGGCGUGAGUACAAGGUACAAGGAAGCGAACUCAUUUGAAAGUGUGGUAAAACAAAAGAUAUGCGCGUCUAAGGCGACAAAGCAAAAAAUCAAAUGCACGGCAUGGUGUUCUAUUUCGUGCGGGGAAUAAAAACGUUUUCGUGCACAGAAUGAGCGAGUCAAAUGCAGCAAAUGCGCCGAAUACCUUUUCUGCUAAUACUAUUUUUCCGCGUUGGAAUUCAAACGAAUCUCAAAAUAUUCUACUAAACCUGAAUUGCAUUUGGAAGGUGUGAGGGAUCCAAAGGCUUGUGGGCGAGAGGAGAAGAUGGGUUGAAAUUGACGUUGGAACAAAUUUACUCCACCAGUUAUUGAAAUCUCGCGAGAAGCACAAUGACGAUCAUGAUUGACGAUUUAAUUUCAAGAUUCUGGAAACCAGUUAAUUAUCGGAUCUCUGCGAUGCAAAAACUUAAAUUUGUUUUAUAGCGCAAGAUUUUAUUAAUCAGAUUAUAAAAUAACUUUGUCAUUACACUACGUAUUUGCCUGCGAUAGGUAUCCAAUAUCCACUCGUAACAUAAAUUUUGGUAUACUGUUGUCGAACGGCAACUAUACUCACCCGUUUAUAGAUACGUAAUAGGGGUGCUAAUCUAUCGAUCAAUGAAGUGUUGUAUUUCUGACCUACGUUCAUUCGAAGGUAUGAGCAGGUAAUGGACUUAAGAAAAUAUUCCUCAAUUUUUACUUAUUUAUCCUAAAUUAGGUGAAAUAUAUUUUAACAUGUCAAGUUUGACUUUAUAUGAGCAGUUGAUUACUAGAUUAGAUUAUACUAGUUAUUAAGCUUGUUCAGUUGUAGACAAGUCCUUUGUAGUGGUAUAAAUUUCUAGACACAAGCUAAAUGAUUACUAUUGUAGAAUUAAUUGAAAGUAAAACCAAUAGAAACUAAGAUUGCCAGAAUAAAAAUAUACAUCACCAAUUCCACCAAAGCCCUACAAAAAUCGGCCCGCACUGACAUUUGCUUAAAUAAACACAUACUCAGCAAAUUCCCCGCUCCUCCCCGUCAAGCAUACAGGCACACAACGCUGUGCAUC